GAUGAACGCUAGCGGCAGGCUUAAUACAUGCAAGUCGAGGGGUAGCAAGAUUGUAGCAAUACAAUUGUUGACGACCGGCAAACGGGUGCGGAACACGUACACAACCUUCCUACAAGUGGGGAAUAGCCCAGAGAAAUUUGGAUUAAUACCCCGUAACAUAGCGAUGUGGCAUCACAUUGCUAUCAUAGCUUCGUCGCUUGUUGAUGGGUGUGCGGCUGAUUAGAUAGUUGGCGGGGUAACGGCCCACCAAGUCUACGAUCAGUAGCUGAUGUGAGAGCAUGAUCAGCCACACGGGCACUGAGACACGGGCCCGACUCCUACGGGAGGCAGCAGUGGGGAAUAUUGGACAAUGGGCGCAAGCCUGAUCCAGCCAUGCCGCGUGUGUGAAGAAGGCCUUCGGGUUGUAAAGCACUUUCAGCGAGGAGGAAGGGGUGUGUGUUAAUAGUACACACCUUUGACGUUACUCGCAGAAGAAGCACCGGCUAACUCUGUGCCAGCAGCCGCGGUAACAC
rnacentral:rRNA from 1 species